AGGGAUAUAACUCAGUGGUAGAGUUCCACCUUGACGUGGUGAUGGUCAUCGGUUCGAGCCCGAUUAUCCCUA
rnacentral:tRNA from 2 species